GACAGAGGAUGCAAGCGUUAUCCGGAAUGAUUGGGCGUAAAGCGUGCGCAGGCGGUUUUUGUAAGUCUGUUGUGAAAUCCCCGGGCUCAACCUGGGAAUGGCAAUGGAGACUGCAAGGCUAGAGUUUGGCAGAGGGGGGUAGAAUUCCACGUGUAGCAGUGAAAUGCGUAGAUAUGUGGAGGAACACCGAUGGCGAAGGCAGCCCCCUGGGUCAAAACUGACGCUCAUGACACGAAAGCGU
rnacentral:rRNA from 1 species